CUCAUGGACACGUCGCAGGUACACAAGCUUCCAGUGGAGGUUGUUCCCUGCCUGACUUUGGUAUGGCAAGAGGUAUUAUUCCAAACGAUGAUACCGUGGCAUCAACAGUACUAAAUUCUUAUUCAUAUGCCAAGUAUGCAUGGUUAAACAUAUGUAUUAAUGACCUUAAAUUAAAAGGGGAAUGAAGGGAACGUUUGCAUCUCUUUGAAUUAACAGUAUGUUUUGCUUUGCUUUCAUUUUUUCCCUCUUUCUCAGUACAUGCUGUGACAAUGUAAAAUCAUAGUUAUUACACAUUGUGUUUCAAUGAAAGAUGAUACAAAUGGGUUAAGUUUAACAUAGCAAUUAAAAAGGGAAUAAUUUUGACUGCAGGGAGGAAAUCUUGUUUGCAUGCAGGGAAAAUGGCCUUCUACUGAGAGACUUUUGCAGUUGCAUUUUACUACAUUUUCAGGUCUUUUUCAAUCUGCAUAGCUAAUUAUUGCUCCUCAAAGUCAGUCUAUUUUUAAUUAGAAAUUUUUGGAGGAAGUUAGAGUUAGGAGUGCAAUGACUUAAGUAAAGGCUGCAAGUGGUGUACACUUGAAUGCUCGAAUAAGUUUUUAAUUUCAUGAAGAUCUGGUUUGACUGUACAAUAAAGGAAACAAACAUAAACAAAACAAAGCGAAACGAAAAUACUACAGUGACAACAUACUUACAAGAUUUGUGGACUCGCAGGAAACAAAAAGAAAACAUUCAUGAGAAAAAUAAACAAACAUUUAGGACCGAACUUUGACUUCUGGAGGUCUGAGCACAUAUACCAUAAUAUCAACAAUACAUGACGUAGAUUACCAGUCCUGCGUGGACGGGAAACAUUUUGUAACUCACAAGUGGGUAGUUAGUACAUUUCAAGCUAGGGAAUCUACCCUGAUUACCUGACUGCUAUUGAGACCCCUAUUACAUACAUGUAAUGAAAUACAUACAUGUGUGAAAUGCAGACUUUCGUGUUCUCGAUUUGACGACGAAAAUUGAAGAUUUGAGCAAAUAAAAAACUUUUUACACAGGAAUACUGCAAAACAGACGCUUAUUUCGUUAAGCAAAAAAAAUCAUUUUGGGGGUUUAGGUGCACUUUAAACACAGUUCGAGUCGACCUCUUAAGGAGUUCCAAAAAAAAAAAAGUAAGGUAAUUUUGGUUUUAUCAACUGAGAUUAUUAUGUAAAUUGGCCAACAUUAAGAGUUUCAAAUAUGACAUUUCGAGCGUUAGCCCUUCGUCAAGUUGCUAUACUCCCCCAUCUAACCCCUUUAAUCAUUUAUCUUGAUUAUUCGCAGCGUAAGGAUGGGGGGAUCGAAACGGAUUGACUAAACAUUUCAAAAUGAAGAACUAUGCCGUGGCUUCGUAGAUAUAACAAGGCUAGACGACAAAUAAUUUUAUUGUUCAGUAUCCCCGCAAAAUUUGUAUUAGCGCAACAGGAUUUUCGAUUCGAUGGCGGAAAUGCUGAAAGGCAUCAUCGUCAAACUGAAAUUCAUCUCAGCAGUGUUCUUUUUGGACUCAAAGGGAAUACUCUCCGCAAGCAACAAACGUAUUCUUGCCAAAUUUUGAGGCCAGAAGACCAAAGUAAAGUCUAGCUCGGUUUUCUUACCCUAUGCAGAUGAUACCGAAGUGUUCAGAUCACAAACUACCCCAUCCACCAGAUGGUAAUUUGGGACCUGAAAGCGUUGUCCAGACCCCGAAAUCAGUGCACUGAGCCUCGGUCGCUAGUUUAUAAAUUCAUCCACCACUUCAUUUCAUCUCGCCCUUUUAAGAUAUGGAAAAGCAGUAUGGAUUGCUUCCCAAAUUUUUGUUCAGUUCUAUGUUAUGUCGCUGUAAGAUAGAACAACACGUUUGAAUAAAAUUCUCCCUCCCUAUCAACUAAAGAAAUCAAUUAAGUUCAGUAAAUAACACGGGUUCACACCGUUGUAUUUCUAAUGCUGUGAUUAGAUAAGUUAUUUUAGUUUACGAAAAGUAUUGCCCAGGUAAUUUUAUCACGACUGAAAUGCCUUCCAUGUACUGCCGUGAUUUUUUGCUGUGUUUUUUGUUUUGUUUCUUUCUG
rnacentral:lncRNA from 1 species